rnacentral:lncRNA from 1 species
UGAAAGUUGAUGACCAAAUUGACAACUGCCUCCUCUUCAUUUGGCUGCAAUGAAAUCCUAACUAGCUACCCAGCAAAUGGUGUUGUCAUGGAACCUGCAUUUGUGGAAUAUGAACAUCUGGAAUUCACUCAAGGUGAAUUAUGGUAUGGUGAAAUCGUAACAUGAGUUUCUUCAUUUGAGCCUGGAGUUCCUUCUCGAUGCCUAGACACCUCCAUUUCCAGAAAUUGUGUUAGUUGGCACAUCACAAAACUCAUGGUGGCUCUAUGUUGGGAGGUAUGCAAAGCUGCCUCUGAUGCUUUCCAGACCGAAUUCACAUUGAACUCUCCUCGAAGCCCUUGAUCCAAAAUAGUUGUUCAAUUCCCGUUCUGGAACUCAAGAUUCACCUACUCCACUAUGUGGACAAGAUCAUCAUUUUCUAUGAUUGCAGGUUGGCUAGUAAAACCCUAAACAUCAAUUUUUUUUUUCCUUCAACCUUGCUAAUUAUAGUAUCUGCAGACCAAAUAAAGUAAUCAUAGAUCACUCACUGCUCAUAGAAUUCACAUUGAACUCUCCUCGAAGCCUUUGAUCCUAAAUAGUUGUUCAAUUCCCGUUCUGGAACUCAAGAUUCACCCGCUCCACUAUGUGGACAAGAUCAUCAUUUUCUAUGAUUGCAGGUUGGCCAGUAAAACCCUAAACAUCAAUUUUUUUUUCCUUCAACCUUGCUAAUUAUAGUAUCUGCAGACCAAAUAAAGUAAUCAAAGAUCACUCACUGCUCAUAGAUUUUUUUUUUUUUUUAACAUGAUCAAAAUUCUAAGAACAGUAGAACACGAAAUCUGAACAUGCUCGGAAUCAAGAUACCUUGCUGUGCCCAUGAACGAUGCCACCAGAGUCUCAUUGUCACUGGGAAAAACCAUGGACAGACCAAAAUCUGCUAUUUUGCAUCCAAGUUUUAAUUCAGGAGAAUGUUGGCAGUCUUUACAUCUCUAUGCACAAUACUGGAUUGUGAAUAUAUAGUAGCACAAAAAAUAACACUAAGCACCUAUCUAACGCAAUAUCUAAUGCCAUCCAAAGUCUCAUUUCCCAAGUUUAUGUGAGCUCCUAUCUGCUUCUGCAACCAUUAACGUGACACUUCAAUAUUUUGAAACCCUCUGUUGGAGGACAAUGCUAUGUAAAAUAUAGAAUUACAUACCUGAUCAGAGAUAUUCUUUUAGGUUUUCAUUAGGCAUGUACUUGUAUAUAAGUGCCAACUUGUCAGUAUCACACAGUAUCCAAUAAACGAGGCCAAGUUUCUAUGAUGGAUUCUCAUCGGGAGCUCAACCUGCAGCCACAAGGAACUCAUCAAUCUCUAACCAAAGAGACAAGGCAUUUAACUUGCAUCCAAGGAAUUAAAUUCAAACUGUCAAACCUCUGUUUGGAACUCCCUAGCUGAGCUAGCUCCUUGAGAUGACGAUGUAGAACCACAACUUGAGUGCCAUAUUUCAACUAGCCAUGGUAUACAAUCCCAAAUCCUCCUUUCCCGAUUUCCGUUUUAAAGAUUUCGGUGAUUUCUAAAACCUCGUCAUAAGUGAACUAGGACUUCUGAUGCUACAGGAGUUUUGUUACGUGUUUCUCCAUCUGCAGCUCAAGUAGACAAAAAGAUAUGAGUUCAGACUAACUGGUUAGGAAUACCACUACACCAUAGUAGGAGCGCCGGUUCUAAUUGAAUUAAGUAUCAAAAAGAUAUGAGUUCAGACUAACUGGUUAGGAAUACCACAACACCAUUUGCUUUGGUUAAAGAAAAUGCUAACCUAUUCGGUGCUCUCCAUGAAUGAAACUUGCACAGAGCAGUAGGACAAGGAAAUCAAUUGAGAUCAUCUUCUCUCUUUGUCUCACUGCAGCCUAUGAACUACCUGGUAUUUAUUAUGCGUGACAAUGUUCUGACCAAAAAAGCAGAAAAACGUAUAUGACAGUGUGGAUUUGUACCUUAUGCUGCACAACUUUACAUGAAAUCAUUCUAGGUGAAAUCGUAAUAUGAGUUUCUUCAUUUUAGACUGGAGUUCUUUGUUGAUGCGUAGACACCUCUAUUCCAUACAUUGUGUUAGUUGGCACAGCACAAAACCCAUGGUGGCUCUAUGUUGGCAGGUGAUAGUUGUGCAUGCCAUUGCUG